UAUGCCGAGUAACAAGUGAUCUUCGUCGUCUAGGUGAGAGUGACCUCCGUUGUCCAAGAGGUGAUGGUGAUCUAUGACAGCGCCCAGGAGAAGGUGAUCUGUGUCGACGCCCAGGGGAAGGUGAUCUACGUCGGCGCACUGGAGAAGGUGAUCUACGCCGACGCACUGGAGAAGGUGAUCUACGUCGUCGCACAGGAGAAGGUGAUCUACGUCGUCGCACAGGAGAAGGCGAUCUACGUCGUCGCACAGGAGAAGGCGAUCUACGUCGUCGCACAGGAGAAGGCGAUCUACGUCGUCGCACAGGAGAAGGCGAUCUAUGUCGUCGAACAGGAGAAG
rnacentral:lncRNA from 1 species